UACGUAGGGUGCGAGCGUUAAUCGGAAUUACUGGGCGUAAAGCGUGCGCAGGCGGUUAUGUAAGACAGAGGUGAAAUCCCCGGGCUCAACCUGGGAACUGCCUUUGUGACUGCAUGACUAGAGUACGGCGGAGGGGGAGGGAAUUCCGCGUGUAGCAGUGAAAUGCGUAGAAAUGCGGAGGAACACCGAUGGCGAAGGCAAUCCCCUGGGCCUGUACUGACGCUCAUGCACGAAAGCGUGGGGAGCAAACAGG
rnacentral:rRNA from 1 species